rnacentral:misc_RNA from 1 species
AAAGUUUUUAGAAUUUAAUCUUGACCACAAAUAAUAAAAACAAAAUUAGAUACAUUUUAAUCUAGACCAUUUAUUUUUAUAAGGACAAAUUUAGACCUUUGAAUCAAAAAGUAAUAAAAUAAAUUUGUCCUAGUCACGUUAAAUGUGAGGGUUUAAUUGAUAAUUAUGCAAAUUUAAAUUGCACAAAGUUACAAAUUUAAUAGUUUUUUUUUUAACUUUUUUUUUACAAUUAACCCUAAUUUGUGGUUUCUAACGUGAUUUCUCUAGUAAUAGAUAAUAUAACAGAUGACAUGAAAUUUUUGUUAAAUAUACUAACAGUUUAUUGAUAGUCAGGUCAAUUUGAUACAUGAAUUAAAUAUGAUUCCUUAAUUGACAAUUAUGUAAACUUAAGAGUUUAAUUAUAAAAAUUAAUAAAUUUUAUUUUUAUUUUUUUACAAUUAACCCUUGAUAGAUGAGUUAAAAAUUUUAUUUAAAUAGAAAAUCAAAUAACAAAGAAUUUUUU